AGUAAUAACAAACCAAAGAUGAAUACUACAAACCUAAAAGUAUGCGAACAUCAAUGCUUAGAAGAGUGUGAUCCGUACUAAUAAACUAUAUUUUCCUAAACGGGACAAGAAGUUUCCGAAAUUUUAUGCGAAUCACUAACAAAGUUGAAGGAAAAGUUGUUAUUAGACUAUAUUUGUCCAAGAGAAUUACUUAUUAAAAGAAAGAAAAAGAGUUAAACUUAAAAAGUUGGUCGUAUCGCGCAAGUUUACUUUCCAGAUGUUUUUGUUCCCAACGCAUAAAAACAUCAGAGUGGAGACCGGAUGGUGAUGAAACAGAUAGGUCUAUAAUGACGAUUUCCAAGAUAACUUACGCAUUUCGAGAAUUCUUUCAUAAAAAUAAAACACGAAUUGUAAUUUCUAGUCUUUCAAAUGGUGAAAACUUUCCAAUUUCUUAA
rnacentral:lncRNA from 1 species